UACGGAGGGUGCAAGCGUUAUCCGGAUUUACUGGGUUUAAAGGGUGCGUAGGCGGGUAGGUAAGUCCGUGGGGAAAUCUUCGAGCUUAACUCGGAAAUUGCCGUUGAUACUAUUUAUCUUGAAUAUCGUUGAGAUUUGCGGAAUAUGUCAUGUAGCGGUGAAAUGCUUAGAGAUGACAUAGAACACCUAUUGCGAAGGCAGCAGGCUAAACGAACAUUGACGCUGAGGCACGAAAGCGUGGGGAUCAAACAGG
rnacentral:rRNA from 1 species